AGUUGCGAAGGCGGCUCUCUGGACUGUAACUGACGCUGAGGCACGAAAGCGUGGGGAGCAAACAGGAUUAGAUACCCUGGUAGUCCACGCUGUAAACGAUGAGUACUAGGUGUCGGGGGUUACCCCCUUCGGUGCCGCAGCUAACGCAUUAAGUACUCCGCCUGGGAAGUACGCUCGCAAGAGUGAAACUCAAAGGAAUGGACGGGGACCCGCACAAGUAGCGGAGCAUGUGGUUUAAUUCGAAGCAACGCGAAGAACCUUACCUAAGCUGGACAUCCCAAUGACAUCUCCUUAAUCGGAGAGUUCCCUUCGGGGACAUUGGUGACAGGUGGUGCAUGGUUGUCGUCAGCUCGUGUCGUGAGAUGUUGGGUUAAGUCCCGCAACGAGCGCAACCCUUGUCUUUAGUUGC
rnacentral:rRNA from 1 species